rnacentral:tRNA from 1 species
GGAGAAGUGGCAGAGUGGGAUGCGUAUGGCUUGAAACUAUAAAGAUGAAGGUUCAAACCCUUUCUUCUCUU